AACGAACGCUGGCGGCGCGCCUAAUACAUGCAAGUCGAGCGAGAAGGUGUAGCAAUACACUUGUAAAGCGGCGAACGGGUGAGGAAUACAUGGGUAACCUACCCUCGAGUGGGGAAUAACUAGCCGAAAGGUUAGCUAAUACCGCGUACGCUUCCGGGACUGCGGUUCCGGAAGGAAAGCGAUACUGUGAGUAUCGCGCUCUUGGAUGGGCUCAUGUCCUAUCAGCUUGUUGGUGAGGUAACGGCUCACCAAGGCUUCGACGGGUAGCUGGUCUGAGAGGACGAUCAGCCACACUGGCACUGCGACACGGGCCAGACUCCUACGGGAGGCAGCAGUAAGGAAUAUUGCGCAAUGGACGACAGUCUGACGCAGCGACGCCGCGUGGGGGACGGAAGGUCUUCGGAUUGU
rnacentral:rRNA from 1 species